rnacentral:rRNA from 1 species
UACAGAGGGUGCGAGCGUUGUCCGGAAUCACUGGGCGUAAAGGGCGCGUAGGCGGCUUGAUAAGCGUGCGGUGAAAGCCCGGGGCUCAACCCCGGGUCGGCCGUGCGAACUGUCGAGCUGGAGCACUGUAGAGGCAGGUGGAAUUCCGGGUGUAGCGGUGGAAUGCGUAGAGAUCCGGAAGAACACCGGUGGCGAAGGCGGCCUGCUGGGCAGUGGCUGACGCUGAGGCGCGACAGCG